GAGUUUGAUCCUGGCUCAGGAUGAACGCUGGCGGCGUGCCUAAUACAUGCAAGUCGAGCGAACAGAUAAGGAGCUUGCUCCUUUGACGUUAGCGGCGGACGGGUGAGUAUCACGUGGGUAACUUACCUAUAAGACUGGGAUAACUCCGGGAAACCGGGGCUAAUGCCGGAUAAUAUUUAGAACCGCAUGGUUCUAAAGUGAAGGAUGGCCUUGCUAUCACUUAUGGAUGGAUCCGCGCCGUAUUAGCUAGUUGGUAAGGUAACGGCUUACCAAGGCAACGAUACGUAGCCGACCUGAGAGGGUGAUCGGCCACACUGGAACUGAGACACGGUCCAGACUCCUACGGGAGGCAGCAGUAGGGAAUCUUCCGCAAUGGGCGAAAGCCUGACGGAGCAACGCCGCGUGAGUGAUGAAGGUCUUCGGAUCGUAAAGCUCUGUUAUUAGGGAAGAACAAAUGCGUAAGUAACUGUGCGCGUCUUGACGGUACCUAAUCAGAAAGCCACGGCUACUC
rnacentral:rRNA from 1 species